CCGGGUCCCAGGCAGCCCACUUCACCCCCAGACGAUGGCUGAACCUGCAGGAGUACCAGAGCAAGAAGCUGAUGGCCGACAACGGAGUGAAAGUUCAGAGGUUCUUUGUAGUGGACACUGCGAACGAAGCUCUGGAGGCCGCUAAGAAACUGAGCUUUUGUUUGAGCGAAUA